AUAAAGGAAUAGGCAGUGUUGUUAAGUUCCCUUCUUCAGUCUUCUCUUAAGCUGAAAGUCCAACGAUUUCAAGAUUCAAUUAAUUAGAGACAUGGAGAGCCAAAGUACAAGAUACCUGUACGGAGAACUUGGGAGGCAUUUUUAUAAGCUCAUUGUCAAGUGAAUGUUAAAGUCCCCAUUCACUGAGAAGCAAAGGGUGAAGAAGUGAGACCCUACAUGGCUUUUUAGUGCAUUGAUGGAGCAGAGACACGUCUAUGAACAACUGCCUAUGCAAACUGAUUACUCGGCAGUAUAAUUUAUCAGUUUGUAUGAGUAAGUGAGUGCUUCUCACUAUGGAUUUAGCUUGCACUUCAAUUUAGAGAUCUUCGGGAUUUUUCAUAUGGUAAAUUUCUGAUGCUCCACCUCAAAGAUUUGAAGCCUGAUCUCUUCGUUCUAUAUCCAAGAAAAGGAAGUCAUUGUACAAUAGACUGAGUAUUCUGGAGCAAAAGGUCAUCCAACGUUAUAAAAGCUUGCCUGAGACCAAAGCAUGGAAAGGAAAUCCUCCUCCCAGGCAGUGUUAAGUUGUCUGUUCCCUUCUUGGCAUGUAUGCACAACUUCUUUAACACUAAGGAGAUUUAUUCAUGGGUACUGAGGGAGGAAGGGGCUUUAUAAAGUGAAAUGGGGCCUUGAAAUUUCUCAAGGAUACCCUAAAACAGACAAGGAACAAGUCUGUUCCAAAUGGUAAGAUGGAGCAGGAUAGUAAUGAUGGGACAGUGUAAUUUUUUAUUUACAGAUAUAAAACAUCAGAUGAAAUACAUCAUAAUUUUCAUAGUUAUUUAAGUGUGAAAGGCACAUAAUUGGUAAGUUAAGUUAUUUCACGAUCUUUUAAGUGGCAGUGUUGGGCAAUGGGAAAAUAAAUAGGUUAUUUCUGUUUUUUUCAAUAACAUGCAAUACAAAUUUGAGCAAUUCAUUUAAUUAGGGCUUUGUAUUGCCUCAUUAGCAGAAAUUCAUAGCAUCCAUUUGAUUAUAUUUCAGGUCUUUUGGGAUACUGGUAUUGGAUGAUUCUGUGUCACAGCUAUAGUUGUCAAAAGUGCCUACAUGGGUACAAGGCAAACGAUAUUCUAACACUGUUGACAUAACAAGUGAUGCAAGAUUAUUGCUGAUACCUGAUUUUUUUUUCAUUGUUAUUUGAGCUCUUAUUCCCCAAGAGGAUAUAUUAUAUUUACUAUGAUGGUUUCAUUCAUUUGCUCAUUUGUUCACUCAAAAAUAAUACCGAGUAUUGACUAAAGGGCAUGUCUAUCUUGUCUGUCAGUAAUUCAGAAACCACUAAGAUAUAGUUUCAAAACUUCAAAAUACUGAUCAUCUGGUGAAUGAGGAUAUAAAACAAAGGCAACAACACAACACAGCCAGCGCUAUGAUAAAAAUGUGCCAACAUUUUUAUGGGAAGUUGGAGGAGUUGCUCCUAACUUGCCUCAGAGAGGCUAGAAGAUUCAUACAGGAGGUGAUUGCUGAACUAGAUUGACGAUAAAGAUGGGACCACUUCAAACUCUUGUCAGUAGACUGAAGAUUGCCACAGGAAGGCUCAAAGUUAAUUAAUGUUUUUUAGAAGGUCUUUGGCUUUAACACUUUCCAUGGCUUCAAAAACAUACAUUAUCGUAAAGCUCUGCUUCUAUCAUUUUGUUUUGGUAUUGGCUUGCUUUCUUGUCUCUUUUACAUUACAUAGGAAGGGAGGGGAAAAACAAUAAGUACUAAAUGUAGGUGUAUGGUUAAUAUCAUGACUACUUUCCACUCGUUCAAUACCUCCAUUUAAAAAAUAAUAUAUCUCCAUGUGUAUGUGCAUGAAAAGUAAAUAUAUGUAAAUUAUUAUGAUAUUUUUCUGAGAUAACAGGAAAGAUAAUGGAAUAUUAAUAAGCCCAAGAAGAGAAAUCUAUACUCAAAUUAUUUUAAAUAGUUGAGUAAUUCUAGGGCUAUCCAAGAACAGUUAAAUACUCAAAAAUUUUUUUCCCAUUAUACAAUGUGUUAGAAGGAUUCUUUUUCUAGUAGGUGUGAAAAAGAAGCAGGUAGCAGGAGAGCUUGGUACACAGAACAUAUUUGAAACAAAAUCAGAAUUUAAUGAUCUAGGUCAGUGAUUAUCAAACUAUAAUGUGUUUAAGAACUACCUGAAGAACUUGUUAAAGCAGUAGGCCUGGGGUAGGACCGAUUAAUUUUCAUUUUUUACAGACCCAUAGAUGAUGCUGAUGCUGUUGGUUUAGAAUCACACUUGGGGAAUCACUUAUCUAGACAAGGGCUUCUGAUAUUUAAUCUGUACAAAUCCCCCUAAUCUUGUUAUAUUGAAGAUACUGAUUCCAUAGGCCUCAGGUGGGUGGGAGUAUUUGCAUUUCAAACAAGCUCAAAGGUGAUGCUUAUGCUACUCUCCGCAGACCCAUUGUGGGAAGCAAGGAUUUAGAUGAUCCACUAUUAUAAGCCCAAGUCAUAUUGCAUGGUUUGGUGAUUUCAGAAAAUAAUAGGUUCAAAUAAGGCUUCGAGUUUAUUUCCUGACCAAAUAAGAUUGUAUCCUUACCAACAAGAUCGCUGUUUCUUGUGUACAGUAUGAAUAUAUAUUAUCACCCCCUUGAGAGAAGCAUUUACUGAGCUCCUGUUUCCUGUAUGAAAUGACUGCCCUAGUUACUAAUUAAGUAAAAAGUGGAUUUCUUCUUUUACUUAGCUUCCAUAAGUAUUCUGAAGCUUUAGAAAUGAAACACUACCCAGACCGGUCAUUUAUUAAGUUUAUUAUGUUUUCUUGAUUCUAAUAAAUUGUAUAUAAGUACAGAUGGCAAAAAAGGAUUGUUCUAAUACCUCAACUCAAACAAAGAAGCAUUUUAGAAAUACCAUAUUAGGCAAGGAUCAUUAUCUAACCCCCUUAUUUAAAAUUUUUAUUUAGACAAAGUCUAUUCAUAUAAAGCAAAAAGUUGAACUAAAUCUCGUCAAAUGAGCUGGAAAAUAUACUUAAUUUUGAUGAGAUAACAGUACCUGGUGGAUUAUAUGGGUGUGGGCGUGAAGGAGCCUUACUAAUAAGUGUUGGCUGUCUUCAACCCACAUUUUCUCAGUAAUUGAUAAUUCUCCAUUUCUUCUCUGCUAUGUAAACCUUUUAAAAAAUAGAACAGUGAAAUAAUGAUAAUGAUAAUACAUUAAGAAAUUUGAAGUAUCACUUUCUAACAGAGCAUUCAAAUAAAAAAAUACAAGUAAUAGAAUCUGUAGUAUACAUUUUGGCCAACUUUGAAUUGUUUGAAGAACCGUGGGGAUGCAUACUUUCUUUUUUCUCUUAUGAUGCUCCCAUUCACAAAUUUUCAAGUGAUAUGAUACUGUUAAAUUCUGUAAUUCAGUUACUUGAAAUGAUGUUUGCAUAGUUAGCAGUAA
ensembl:lncRNA novel transcript